rnacentral:lncRNA from 1 species
AAAGUCACAAUUGAGAACUUGACCUUGACCUUUGACCUUGACCUUAUUUUCUAAGUUAGUACCUAGGGGACUCAUAUAAAAACAUUCCAGGGUUGUACGGUUAAUGGUUUAUAAGUUAAAAAUACAUUCCGACAAAUUUAUUUUGUAAAGGUAGAUAACUCCUAUAAAAUUUCAUCAAAUCGCUUCGAUCCAAAUUAGCCAAAAAUUCCUAAGGAUGUAACGAACAAUUUGUAAAAAGAAUUUUGUCGAUAUCUUUUUUUGUUACGAAGGAGAUGCACACAAAUGAUAAACAGUAAAUAGGGAGAUAACUCUUACAAAGAAAAUUGUUCGUCUUCACAGGGU